rnacentral:rRNA from 1 species
GACGAACGCUGGCGGCGUGCUUAACACAUGCAAGUCGAACGGAAAGGCCCUGCUUUUGUGGGGUGCUCGAGUGGCGAACGGGUGAGUAACACGUGAGUAACCUGCCCUUGACUUUGGGAUAACUUCAGGAAACUGGGGCUAAUACCGGAUAGGAGCUCCUGCUGCAUGGUGGGGGUUGGAAAGUUUCGGCGGUUGGGGAUGGACUCGCGGCUUAUCAGCUUGUUGGUGGGGUAGUGGCUUACCAAGGCUUUGACGGGUAGCCGGCCUGAGAGGGUGACCGGCCACAUUGGGACUGAGAUACGGCGCAGACUCCUACGGGAGGCAGAAGUGGGGAGUAUUGCACAAUGGGCGGAAGCCUGAUGCGGCGACGCCGCGUGCGGGAUGACGGCCUUCGGGUUGUAAACCGCUUUCGCCUGUGACGAAGCGUGAGUGACGGUAAUGGGUAAAGAAGCACCGGCUAACUACGUG